rnacentral:lncRNA from 1 species
UGACCAUACUGCAUGUGGUCAAUGCUUGGAUAGAAUUGAGGGAGAGAUGCAGUUAAUGAGAAUCGAUGUCAAGCAGGUGCAGCCUGAGUGCACCAAUUCAACAAGAACAUUGACUAAGCUUGAAGAUCAAAUAAGCCAAUUGAUGAGCAUGAUAGAUGACAUCAAAAGACAAAUUGGCAUAGGUAUUUCCAGCAAUACAGAAAACAAUCCAUGAAGGGAAGGUAAGGAGCACGUGGAAG